rnacentral:rRNA from 1 species
CUACGGGGGGCUGCAGCGAGGAAUAUUGCACAAUGGGGGGAACCCUGAUGCAGCAACGCCGCGUGGAGGAUGACGCAUUUCGGUGCGUAAACUCCUUUUAUAUGUCAAGAAAAUGACGGUAGCAUAUGAAUAAGCACCGGCUAACUCCGUGCCAGCAGCCGCGGUAAUACGGAGGGUGCAAGCGUUACUCGGAAUCACUGGGCGUAAAGGACGCGUAGGCGGGUUGGAAAGUCAGGUGUGAAAUCCUACAGCUUAACUGUAGAACUGCACUUGAAACUUCUAAUCUAGAGUAUGGGAGGGGGAGAUGGAAUUAGUGGUGUAGGGGUAAAAUCCGUAGAUAUCACUAGGAAUACCUAAAGCGAAGGCGAUCUCCUGGAACAUUACUGACGCUAAGGCGUGAAAGCGUGGGGAGCAAACAGGAUUAGAUACCCUCGUAGUC